rnacentral:lncRNA from 1 species
AUGGGCCAUCCUCCCCUGCAGGGACAGCACCAUGGCGGCUGCAGGUGUGGCAGUGCCUGCGUCACCUCUGACCACACAGCAGCGUCUGCCCAGGCACGCAGCACAUGGCUGGGGGUGUUUCUGAACGAUGCUGUGAGAGAAUCGCUUUCUACAGGAAAAGGGACUGCAGAGGGGAAGGGAGAGACAGCAACAGAAAGUGAGGUCCCUUCAACCCUAGGCCCUGGAUGGAGAAGAAAGACCCUGACUCCCACCGCCUUCUCUGGCUUCCGAGACUCUCCUGCCCUCCAUGGAGGCCAGCCACUGCUCACCGCCAGAGGGAGAUCCUCCCGAGGGAGGACAAACAACCCCCCACCCCCUCUACACACAGACCCUCUGUUGUUUCUACAGAGUUCUUUCUGGGGCUAACCCUUGAGAGCAUGUGGUAUCUUGGUUCUCACUAACCCAGGUGUCUGCUGCAGUGGCCCCCACAGGUAUUCCCUCAGCAAAUGUGGCAGGACUUCAUAGGCUUGGCACCAGAGAGCCAGUCCUAUCCCCUGCUGGGACAGCCUGCUGGAGACCCAGCUCCUGGACCACCACCCGCUUCACUGCCACAGUCUUCUCUUCUCUGGGCCAAGUGUCCCCUGCCCCCUGCACUGUCGUGUUCACCUUCUUCCCUCACCUUUCUCUGGGGAAAGUGAGUGGUUCUGGAGUAGCUAGCCACCAUGUUCAGCCCCUUGGCCAACUCCCUGCCACGUCCUCUGCUGUUACGUGAAUGACACAGCCAUGAACAGUGGAGUGCGGCUGCCUUCAGGGACUUCUGAGCAUCACUGUCGUGUUCCCAUGGGGCUCUGGGCUCCCCAGAGAGGGCGCCUACCUGUCAUUCCAAGUUUGAGACUGGUCCCUGCUGACCCACCACCCACUGCAAAGGCAUCCCAUCCUGGAGUCACCCUCUGCCCCGAGCAUCUCCCAGAGAGUCACAGUGGAAAGCGUUGCUGAUGGGCAUGGCCUGGAACUGUGGCUUGGUAAGGUCCACUGGUCCCUGCACUCCAGCUGCUGGCCAGGGCCAAGGGGUGGCAACAAGAGCUACUGAGCAGUGGCCUAGUCAGAGCCCCGUUCACAGACGCGGCACCAGUGUGCACCCUAAUGGCGAGAGCUGUCCAGAAAUGCAAUGGUCUGCCCCUCAAAAAUAGGUAGUGAGCUCCCAUCAGUGAGAGGGCCGGAACAGUUGAUGACAGUCUUACAGAAGGAAAAACUGCAUUCAGGCCAGGGAAUAUUGGGACAGAAAUAGGCAGGGUGGUUAAGCGUGUGGGCUUUGGAGUUGGAGCCAGUUUGGGGUCAUAAUCUCGGCAUUGCUCCUUUACCUCAGAUGAGGCUCUGAGGCCCCAGGACCCCAGUGAGGAAGUAGCUACGUGACCUUAGGCAAACCACCCACGCUCUCUGAGACUCGUAGUCGUCGUCGGCCUCCCAGGUUGUGAGGGAGUCAUGAAUGUGUGGGUGGUGCCAGACAUAGCUGGCCAGUCCUCAGGAGCUGCGAUCGUGAGACUUCCUGGGUCCCCACCUGCUCCUGAUGCCCUCCUUGAACCCUGACAGCCUGCCCAAGCCUCCCUGUCCUCGCUGGCACAGCAGAGGUGGCGCUUCCUCCAGGCCAUGUCCCCACCACCCAGAGCUAGCUCUGCUCUCAGCCGGGUCACUACACCCCAUCCCUGCUGAAAUCCAUCCGAGUCCUCUCCUCCAACCUGCCAGCCUCCUGAAGAGCUCCUCAGAGUCUUGAGACCACAGACCAUCGUCCCUAAAGGCCAAAAUGAAAGACAAGUACAAUCGGGCCUAUUUGUCACCAACUUUAUUUUUGGCUUCAGUUUGAUAGUCAAUGAAACAACUUGUUCAAUGUCCCCUCCCCCUAGUGUACACACACCACCCUGGGUGUUGAAGGUACCCUUCUAUAUAUUAUUAACUCUUUGCUAACAUAUGCAAUAUUUAAAUAUGAGGAAAAGCAAUAAAUUACUCGUUGGCUGAGAGCUGGCUGCUGGCUGGAAGACAGGAGUGGCUAUUCCCCCGCCUCUUCUGACCCUGCCUCGGAUGAGGCCCCGGGACCCCAGUGAGGUAGCAGAAUUCUGUACACAGUACUUAUUACCAGGGUCUCCUGGUGCCCACUGCUUUAGUGCUGGGCCCUGAGUCUCCGAACCCUUGGUUUCAAGUGCCAACAGCCACAGUCUCCCAAUCUCCAACGCGGACAAACACAGUCAUUUAAAUAACACACAAUAAUAAAUAAGACCAAGAAGAAAUGUGCCUGAGCUGC